CGAUGGAGCGAUGAUGUGUGCUGCCGCCUUAAGAACUUUUGCCGGUAUGUUAUCAACACCAGUUGCUUUAGAAGCUUUAAGAUUUUGAAGACGCAGGGCAACAUUACUCGCACUGAUAUCGGAAAAAUAAAAACGAGUCCCAGGACAACGUUGCUGGAAAUUUGGGUCAUCACCCAAACUAUUAUAGAGCUGAUCAGACUCAGCUGCUAAGUUUAUUCCUAUAUUCGUAAAAAAAUCAUUAAAAG